AUUGAACGCUGGCGGCAUGCCUAACACAUGCAAGUCGAACGGCAGCACGGCAGUAGCAAUACUGUGGGUGGCGAGUGGCGGACGGGUGAGGAAUACGUCGGAAUCUGCCCAGUCGUGGGGGAUAACUAGCCGAAAGGUUAGCUAAUACCGCAUACGACCGAGAGGUGAAAGCGGGGGACCGCAAGGCCUCGCGCGAUUGGAUGAGCCGACGUCGGAUUAGCUAGUUGGUGGGGUAAAGGCCCACCAAGGCGACGAUCCGUAGCUGGUCUGAGAGGAUGAUCAGCCACACUGGAACUGAGACACGGUCCAGACUCCUACGGGAGGCAGCAGUGGGGAAUAUUGGACAAUGGGCGCAAGCCUGAUCCAGCAAUGCCGCGUGUGUGAAGAAGGCCUCGGUGUAAG
rnacentral:rRNA from 1 species